AUGGCAUCGCUCCUUCCCGGGCCAGGCUCCUGGAGCGAGCCCUGGCACAGGAAGAGGCCAGGGCACUGCAGGGCACCAGCCACGGUGCCUGGGAAUGCAGCUGGGACCCGUGCGUGUCCCCGGCCGCGGGCAUCGGGCUCUGGGCACGCACCGGGGGCAGCCGCCGGCCCAGCCCAUCCCGCCCCGGGCACAGCGGAGCCGCGGCCGUGUGUCCCUGCGGGCAAAGGGCACGGCGGGCAGGGCAGGGACCCGCCAGGCAGGGGCAGUGCCAAGGUCCGAAGAGCCUCGCGGUGCCCGAGGGCGUCAUGCCCGGGGCCGGGGCCGCUGGAUGUCACCCUUGUGCCGUGCGUGCCCGGGCCGUCCCCUCCGCGGGCAGCGGGCUGGCUGCGCACACGCGUGUGCCCGCGCCCCGCUCUGUGCGCACACGCACAGGCACGCGGGGCCCUGCAGCUCCGUGCCGCGGCAUUUCCCAACUCCUGGCUGGAGCAGCGCCCCUGCAGCCCCCCCGCGCCCUGCCCCGACCUUUGCACGAAUCCCCCGGGCGGCCGCGGGGAGGCUAUAAAGGGUGAGCCCGGGGCUGCCCCGCGUCAGAGCCCGGCACAGGUGAGUGGGGACAUCCCCGGCGAGGGUCGUGCUGUAAGGGGACGGGGUCGGGACCCCCGUGCCCCACAUCGUGCGCUCUGCUCUCUCCGCAGCCAUGAAGGCGUCACUGCUGUUCCUGCUCGCCUGCACGGCCGUCCUGGCGCUGGGAGCAAGGGCCGACUCGUCCGAGGACUCGAAGGCGCUGGUGCAGAAGGUGCAGGAGCUGGCCCAGAAAGUCUCGGCCAUGACCAAGGACGCCUUCAGCAGGGUGCGGGAGUCGGAGGCGGCGCAGCAGGCCAGGCAGUGGCUGUCGGACAACGCGGAGCUGGCCAAGCAGCGGCUGCUGUGGCUCAAGGAGCAGCUGGCCGAGCUCCUGAAGAAGACUCCGGCCUCGUAGCCUCGCCGGGGACUGCCCGGGCUCUGUCGGGGCUGGGGACCCCCGGCUGGGGACCCCCGGCUCCCCCCGCUGUCGCGGUGCUCUCAAUAAAGCGGGGCUGAUGCAAACGCUGUGCUGCCAUCACUGCGGGCGGGCCGGGAGGAGCGGGACCCGCAGGGGGAG
rnacentral:lncRNA from 1 species